ACCAUCCUACGGGACGCAGCAGUAGGGAAUCUUCCACAAUGGACGAAAGUCUGAUGGAGCAACGCCGCGUGAGUGAAGAAGGGUUUCGGCUCGUAAAGCUCUGUUGGUAGUGAAGAAAGAUAGAGGUAGUAACUGGCCUUUAUUUGACGGUAAUUACUUAGAAAGUCACGGCUAACUACGUGCCAGCAGCCGCGGGAAUACGUAGGUGGCAAGCGUUGUCCGGAUUUAUUGGGCGGAAAGCGAGUGCGGGCGGUUCAAUAAGUCUGAUGUGAAAGCCUUCGGCUCAACCGGAGAAUUGCAUCAGA
rnacentral:rRNA from 1 species